rnacentral:sRNA from 1 species
AUUUCUUCCCUUCAUAUUCUAGCCACUCUGGCCUCCCCAAACUCUGAAUUCUUUCUCUGAAACUCAGUGAGAUUACUGGGCUCUGUUUGGGUUUCACCUCCCUGUGCUAUGGCGUGGACACUCUCCAGGCAGAAAGCUGGGGUAAUCUUAGAGCUCACCUUGUUUGUUUUCCUUUUCUCAGGAAUCCCGGGCCUGUGCUGCCUGUUGUCUAGUGAUUGAAAAUUAUUAUUUUAUUUUCUUUAUUUGGUUUGCUAGUUUUUAAGGAGGAAGAUAAACAUUGUACAACAAGAAGAUCCAAAUGAAGAGCUUUCAAAAGAUGAGUUCAUUCUGAAGUUAAAGGCAGAAGUACAGCGUUUGCUGGGUAGCAACUCAAUGAAGCGUCGUCUGGUGUCUCAGUUACAAAAUGACCUCAAAGACUGUCAUAAGAAAAUUGAAGAUCUCCACCAAGUGAAGAAGGAUGAAAAAAGCAUUGAGGUUGAGACUAAAACAGAUACCUCAGAAAAACCAAAGAAUCAAUUAUGGCCUGAGUCUUCUACUUCUGAUAUUGUCAGAGAUGAUAUUCUGCUGCUUAAAAAUGAAAUUCAAGUUU